UGCUUGGGAAUCUACCUAGUAGUGGGGACCAACAGUUGGAAACGACUGCUAAUACCGCAUACGCCCUACGGGGGAAAGAGGGGGAGUCUUCGGACCUCUCGCUAUUGGAUGAGCUCAAGUCGGAUUAGCUAGUUGGUAGGGUAAAGGCCUACCAAGGCGACGAUCCGUAGCUGGUUUGAGAGGAUGAUCAGCCACACUGGGACUGAGACACGGCCCAGACUCCUACGGGAGGCAGCAGUGGGGAAUAUUGCACAAUGGGCGAAAGCCUGAUGCAGCCAUGCCGCGUGUGUGAAGAAGGCC
rnacentral:rRNA from 1 species